rnacentral:tRNA from 1 species
GCGGGUGUCGUCCAGUGGCAGGACGCCGGUCUCCCAUACCGGAAACACGGGUUCGAAUCCCGUCACCCGCU